UACGGAGGGGGCUAGCGUUGUUCGGAAUUACUGGGCGUAAAGCGCACGUAGGCGGCUUUGUAAGUUAGAGGUGAAAGCCCAGGGCUUAACCCUGGAAUUGCCUUUAAGACUGCAUCGCUAGAAUCGUGGAGAGGUGAGUGGAAUUCCGAGUGUAGAGGUGAAAUUCGUAGAUAUUCGGAAGAACACCAGUGGCGAAGGCGGCUCACUGGCCCGGUACUGACGCUGAUGUGCGAAAGCGUGGGGAGCAAACAGG
rnacentral:rRNA from 1 species